UACGAAGGGGGCUAGCGUUGCUCGGAAUUACUGGGCGUAAAGAGCGUGUAGGCGGCUAGGUAGGUCCGUUGUGAAAACUCGAGGCUCAACCUCGAGACGUCGAUGGAAACCAUCUAGCUAGAGUCCGGAAGAGGAGAGUGGAAUUCCUGGUGUAGCGGUGAAAUGCGCAGAUAUCAGGAAGAACACCCGUGGCGAAGGCGGCUCUCUGGUACGCGACUGACGCUGAGACGCGAAAGCGUGGGGAGCGAACAGG
rnacentral:rRNA from 1 species